AACUAGCCAAGAGCCUCUUACUCAAUAAAUUCCAAGCCUCAGCAUCAGUUCAGCAUGGCUGGGGAGGACUCAGGAAAUUGCAAUCAUGACAGAAGGUGAAGGGGAAGCAAGUCACCUUCUUCAGAAGGCAGCAGGGAGAAGCUGUGGGUUACGAAUUUCUCUGAUCAUUUCAUGCUGAGCUCAGAGGAGGGACUCUGAAGUCAGUGCAUACAAGCCCAAACUGUUACCUUUGUUGUCAACUGCCUCCAGGUAUGCUGAGUGUGUUGCGUCCCUACAGUUUUCCUUUAGGAGAAGAAGAGUGAAAAGAUGAAGGCCAGAAGUCUGAACAGGCUCAUGCCAGAUAAAUCUUCCUAUAUAAUGGCAAUUCCUUCUUAAAUUGCAUUGGCCAUGGUUGGGCACAUAAACAGCCUCAAUUGUGUUAGCCUGGAGGUGCAGUAUUUUUAACUGAGCACAUUUCCACCCCCCGCCCCCAACACACACUGCACUUCCCACAAGAUUAGGAUUUUAUCAAGAAGAGAGAACAGACUCUAGGUGGGCAAUCAGCCAAGAUUUAUCAGAGCUUUUUAUUUCUCAGAAAAGCACUUAGUUUUGCUGAGAUUCAGUUUCUUCAUAUUUGAGAUGGGUUAGAGUGUCUCAUGGGGUUGUUGAGAGGACAUAGGGCAUGUAUGUAAAGCAGUAAGCACAAUACCUAACAUAUAAUAAGC
rnacentral:lncRNA from 13 species